rnacentral:rRNA from 2 species
GACGAAGGGGGCUAGCGUUGCUCGGAAUUACUGGGCGUAAAGCGCGUGUAGGCGGCUGUUCAAGUUGGGCGUGAAAGCCUUGGGCUUAACCCAAGAAAUGCGCUCAAUACUGGAUAGCUAGAGGACCGGAGAGGAUAGUGGAAUUCCCAGUGUAGUGGUGAAAUACGUAGAGAUUGGGAAGAACACCAGUGGCGAAGGCGGCUAUCUGGACGGUUUCUGACGCUAAGACGCGAAAGCGUGGGGAGCAAACAGG